rnacentral:lncRNA from 1 species
UUUGAGCAUAAAAGUAACACAACGCAAAGUAUCGAGUUUUAGUCGUUUAUUACAAUACAUUUUGGUGCCGUGACGCCAUGGAAAGUAAACUGAAAGCGGUAAGAGCAGGCCAUAAAAGUGCUGUAACAAGACUUUUGAGAAAAACGGAAGAAGAGCAGGAUUUGGAGAUAGAAGAAAGUACAGAAUUAUUAGAAACACUUUCGCAAAAACAGAAGAUUAUUAGUGCUUUGGAUGAAGAAAUUCUUAAUUUAACAAAGGAUGAGGAUGUUGAAGAUGAAAUACUACAGACAGAUGAGUAUAAAUUCUUUCUGAAUACUAAAAUUAGACACAUACGUAAAAAAUACUCAAAUUCACCAACUUCGAAUAUAACCACUUGCUAAUCAAUCAACGGAAAAUACGAAUCAGCAUAGUUCAGUAGAAAAUACGUUUAGCUCUGUUCAACAACAAAUGUACCAUGUUCCGCCCAACGUUACACAAAAUCACCAACUUCCGAAACUCACCUUACCUACAUUUACAGGAGAAACACUCAUGUGGCAAACUUUUUGGGACUCGUUCGAAUCAUCUGUACACUAUAAUCCCUCACUCACUGACAUACAGAAGUUCACAUAUUUGAAAUCGCAACUUGGUAAUGAAGCCGCUCGAUGUAUUAAUGGACUACCGCUCACAAAUAAUAAUUAUACGGAAGCUAUAAAAUUGUUAAAAGAACGUUUUGGUCAGCCACACAAAAUCACGAAUGCCUACAUGCAAGCCCUGUUAGACCUUCCCGCACCACAAUACAACCUUAUUAGCCUCCGUAAUUAUUACGACAAACAAGAAGCAUAUAUAAGAGGCCUAGAAUCGUUAGGCAGAUCGGGAGAUUCAUAUGGCGCACUGCUCAUCCCAAUCAUCUUGAAUAAGCUACCGUCAUCUGUAAGACAAAACUUAGCCAGAGAAAACGGGACCGAUAAUUGG